AGUUAUACGGAUUUAAGCAUGAUCAUACACCCAAGGUUCCUUUCUUCACGUUGCCUAUGACCUGUACUUUCCUUUCGGUAUUAGUCCCCAGAUAGUAAUUUUUAAAUAUUUUCUUUGCUAUAGAUCCGGAAACCCUAUACUAUAACUAAACAAAGGGAAAAAUGGACCGAGGAAGAGCAUCAGAAGUUUCUUGAAGCUUUAAGGCUGUAUGGCCGUGGCUGGCGGCAAAUAGAAGGUAUGUGCGCAGUGGGGAUUUUUGCAUAUACUCUUUUGCCAUAGUUAUGGUGUGAACAGAUUAAAUUACACUUGUUUUCAUGCAGAGCAUGUAGGCACGAAAACUGCUGUUCAAAUUCGAAGUCAUGCUCAAAAGUUUUUCUCUAAGGUUUAUUGCUUUAUGUUCAUUGCAAGAUUUUCUUGAUUGGGGAACCAUUGUAUGCCAUGUGUAGACAUUCUUAUAUAGGUUUCUUUGAUCAGUCUCUUAUACUUGCGUGUCUGUGGUUCUAGGUUGCCCGAGAGUCAAAUGGUGGCUUUGAGAGUUCCGCUAAAUCAAUUGAGAUACCCCCUCCUCGUCCAAAAAGGAAGCCAACGCAUCCAUAUCCCCGCAAAUCUGUUACGUCUCUUAAAGGAAUAUCUCCAUCAUCUCAACUAGAGAGGUCUCUAUCCCCCAACCACUCUGUCUCGGAACAGGAUAACAAAUCACCCUCAUCAGUUUUGUCCCCAUUUGUUUUCGAUGCAAUGGGGUCUUCUGCCUCUGAGCAACCGAAUAGAUGUUCUUCUCCAACUUCUUGUACUACUAAUAUACAGUCACUCAAUAAUACAUCCCCUGUUGAAAAGGAAAAUGACUAUGUGACAUCUAUGGAGAAAGAGACUGAAUCUUUAUCAUCUGUUAAAGUGUUUGGACAAUCAUCCGAGGAGGACAUUUUAUCUUUGGUAAAAUCUCUGCCCUUUUUCGUUUAUGGAACAAUUAUUACUGACCUUUGUCUUAGAAUUUGAACUCUGAUUUUCUUUCUUUCUUCAUGUAAUUACCCAGAAAUCCAACACAGACUUUGAGGAACCUGUGCGUGCCAAAGGAAACGAAGCAGCAGUAGUUGUGCCUUUCACCAGUAUUAAGCUUUUUGGAAAAACAGUUGAGGUGAAAGAUUCCAGCAAACCAUCCACGGGUGCAGAAAACUUUCAA
rnacentral:lncRNA from 1 species